CAAAAGGGUAGAAGGCAAGCUUUCUUUCCAGCACUCAUUUAGCCUAAGAAGACAACCUACGAAGUAGGCAAUGUAUUCUACUGUAGCCUUGUAAAUAACUCUGAAAGAUUCACCAGCCUGAAGCAACGUCUUAAAUACAAAACCAAUUACGUUCACCCUUUUUUCCCCUUUGCCCAUUAAAACUUCCUGCUUUCAUGAGGCAAUCAGUAAAUGGCUAGAUCCAGUGUUGCUAGAAUCGGUUGGGGGUACAAGUGAGAGUGGAAAACGUAAGACAGAAACAGAAGUUUUUUAGAAAAUUAGUCAUUAUCCAUUGUAGGUAGACAAAUCAAGGGCCCAGUUUUCAUGCUGAUUUUGGAUUAUCCUAAAACUUCAAAAAACAUAUCACUAAUAAGAGUGGUUAUUUAUUUAUUUAUUUAUUUUUAUUUUAUUUUUUUGUCCCUUUAGGGCUACACCCAUGGCACGUGGAGGUUCCCAGGCAGGGGUUGAAUCGGAACUAUAGCUGCCAUCCUGCACCAGGGCCACAGCAAUGAGGGUUCCUUAGCCCACUGAGCGAGGCUGGGGAUUGAACCCACAUCCUGAUAGUUGCUAGUCUGGUUCCUUAACCACUGAGCCAUGAUGGGAGCUCCUGAUAGGAGUGCUUUUAAGUAAAGCAGAAGAUAUACAUCAAGUUGACUGUGUGGUGUUCCUGUUGCUCGAAUAUGAAAAUACGAUUUUCACAAAUGGAACCAGCAUCUAUUUUUCAAUAGGUCGAAAGGCAUUCAUAAUUGCACUAAUCAUUUUUGAAUAUCGCACUAAUGAUAGGAAAAUGUAGGUCUUGACAUUGGCGCGUUUAGUUACAUUCACUGUGAAAAAAAUGUUGUUUACCCCUGGAGAAUUUCUUAAGGAAAAGAAAAAUCAAUCUCCAUCAAUGAGCAAUAUUUUUCUCCCCUAGGGAUAUUGAUUUGAACAUUGACUUCACAAUGGCUGAGUUAUUUCCCUCAGACCCCUGCGAUGAAUUGUUAGGUGACAUGUCUUGUAUGCGACAGUGAACAUGCUGUUUCUGGUAUAGUAAUCUCGUCAAGGAGAUCCCAACUUUGGAAUUGUGGUUGGUUUGGAAUAGUCCUGCUUUUGUCCAUCUGGGUUGAAUAUUUCCGUGGGAUGUAUUCCAAGUUUAAAAAGCGUCAUCGCUCAUCUUUCUGCUCUUUUAAGUGAAGUAUAGCUUUUUCGAUGCUUGGGAGGGAGAGUCAGGUGGCAGGGAAUAAUUCACUUCUCUGCUGGCUCCUCAACUGGGCACACUCUCAGCUCGUGUGUGUGCGUGGGGCAGUGGGCGGGCAGUGACGCAUGUGUCGUCAUGUAAAUGUCUUUGUGAUUCCAAUUUCUCCCUUUAUGUGGAUGGUACAAUGUCUCUAAUUUGAAAAUGAAGCAGAUUUUCAAUUUACUAUAGAAACCAGGAUGUAAAGGAACGUUGUGGAAGGCGGAGAAGAGGGAGAAGACUCAGAAGUGUAGAAUUCUUGUUAGUGUGAAUGGUCAUUCUUUAAUUUAUCUGUUAGACUUUGGGUAUAUAUAUAUAUAUAUAUAUAUUUUUUUUUUUUUUUCACACUGGCAGCUUAUGGGAGUUCCCUGGCCGGUGAUCGAACCUGAAACACAGUGGUGACAAUGUGGAUCCUUAACCCACUGAGCCACCAGGGAACUCCUCUAAUGUGUUUUCAUAAUGAGGUGUUUUUUUUGUUUGUUUGUUUGUUUUUGCUUUUUAGGGCCUCACCUGCGACAUAUGGAAGUCCCCAGGCUAGGGGUCAAAUCAGAGCUACAGCUGCUGGCCUAUACCACAGCCACAGCAACACGGGAUCCAAGCUGCAUCUGCGACCUUCACCACCACUCACAGCAACACCAGGUCCUUAACCCACUGAGCAAGGCCAGGGAUCGAACCUGCAUCCUCAUGGAUCCUAGUCAGAUUUGUUUCCGCUGCACCACAAUGAGAACUCCAUAAGUUUCUUUAAAUGCUUAUUUAUCCAUCCAUUUAUUCUGUAACGAUUAUUCCUUUACAAUUAUUACACUUAUUCCUUUACAACUGCCUAUUCUGAUAUGUUCCUAUCAUCUGCCAGACGUGGUUCUCAGCCUUGGUGAUAAGAUAAAGAGGACCCAUCCGAGGCAUUCACCGUGUGGUUGCGAAGACAUUCGGUCGGAUAGUUAUAAAUGCACAUUGACACAAAACACUUUAGGAGCCCUGAGGCUUAUUUUCAUGGCCAUUUAGGGCAUCGAGGAAGCCUUCGGGGAGGAGUUGAGUGGACGAAUCAAACCAGGACCUGUGAAGAGUGAGAUUGUGUGUGUGGCACAGAGGAGGCACCGUAGCAUGUGCCAGAAAAAGGUAUGACAAGAGUGACAUUGUAGUACCGUCUGCCAUACGAAUCGGACACAUCUGUAUCGGGCACCUCACAUGCAGCACAUCUUCGUGCUGACUGGGUCCUGGGCAGGAGACCGGCAAUUGGUCCAGAGGCGCCAUGAGGGUGAAAUGAGGGUAGGAUGACAGGAAGGCAUGGUCGCCUCUAGGCCGGGGGAGCCCGAGGUGGCCUCUUCCUGCUGGAGUGCAGAGCACCAGGGGAGGCCUGGCGGUGGUCUGUCCAGGUUGUGGCAGGGAUGGCCCAAAGCCGGAAGGGGACCAGCAGCUGUGUUCACUUGGGGCUUCUCAGUCCCGAGGAGUUUCCGCGAAUGCGCACCUGCCUUUCUGUCACCUGGCUAUGCUCGCUCCAUCUUCCUGCUGCUCUCGCGCUCCCCGGGCUGCCUGCUGUCGUGUGGGGCCUCUGCUGUGUCCUCAAAACGUAUGACUGAGUCUUCAGACUUUCAUCUCCUUCUUCACAUGCUGAAACCAUCCAGCUAUUUCUUAUGCCCAGGUGACCUCAGAGUGCUCGGACUAAAAUGCUCACUUGGGUGCUUAUCACAGAGACUCAUGACUUGAGAAUUGCGGUCGGAUCACGGCCUGAAACUCUUGGUAUUGCUCUUAGGAUGAAGUCCGAAAUCCUGCAUGUGUCCUCCAGGACGUGGCAGCAUCACGCUCCCGUCCACGGCUCCCACCUCCUCUCUUGAAACGCUCCUCACGUCCCCAUGACAAGGGCCCUGUUUCCUGGCGUUUCCAGCCCACGAACACCUUUCGACGUGUCGCUGCUGCUCUUUGAAAGGCCCACCCAACGCCUUCUCCAGACAGACCUCUCUCUCUAGUAGAGUCCUUUGCUCACGGAGCACCUCCCUCAUGUCCUGGGUUAGAAACCCUCAUGAGAACGUGCUCGCCACAGCUGUAGUUUUCUUUUAUUCCGCUUGUCAUAAUUGCAUAAGUUAUUUGCACAUAAACCUUGUUCAUCCCACACGCAUUCUUCGAGCCCAGACCAUAAGCCCGUCAAAGCACUCAUCACGUCGCUUGUAUUUUCAUAAGUGAGGCAAUGAAUGGGAAACAAAGAUAUGAUACAGUGUCAGGUAGUGACAGCCACUCUGGGAAAACGUUAAGCUGGGCAAGGGGACGGAGAAGACUGAAGAUCAGCUGGGGAUGAUAAAGAUGAAGGACUUUUGAUUGGCCCGUUCGGGAUAGAAUUCCCAAUCCCCAGCCCGUGCCCAGCAUCUAGAAAGUACCUCACACAUACUGGCUGAGUGAGAAUCCUACCGGCUCAGGCAGCCACGAGGGGCGAAGGGUCGUGCCAUGGGCUAAGUCAGGUGUGCAGCGGGCCUUGUUGCUCCCUAAGUUCCUGGCUGUGUCUGGGGCAGUGUAGACUGUGUGUUCGCCCAACACCCCAUAGGGAUCCGCAUCAAACCGAAUUCCCUGUUCACGCUGAUUAGAGCCACACCUUGUGUGCGGUCGCUCGGCCCACUUUCUUCAUGGCCGAGGCAAACUUGCAACUGGCUGCUGAAUGAAAUAUUGACGCUUUGAAGAAUUGGCGUUCUCACCAGUUUCUAUUUGUACGGAUGAUCAGCUCUUUCUCAGGGAGGAGGAGGAGGAGGAGAAUUUUUUUUUUCUGUGAUCUCUGCGCGUCUAAAUGACUAAUGAAGUCAAUCUGGGCCUGGCAGGUUUUUGCCACGACUUGGACAGACGUAACGCCCAUGAUGUUGUGUUACUUCUCAGCUGGCCGGCUCCCUGGUUCCCACUGCAAUGAUCUCAUUACUGGCAUUUCAUUUUCCAAGUGUCAGAUCGUCCCCGUUUGUGUUGUGUGAUGCCCCUGUGUGGCUUGGACACAAGGCUCUGUCUGCCACUUUUCUUGCAGCCAAGGUUAGCGUCUUGAAGAAUAUCUUUACGAUUAAACAUCUUCUAUGUGCUUCGCUUUGUUUUCCUUUUGGUGAGAUGGGGAGAGAGGGACAUGCAUGCACUCAUAAUUAUCUUCUUUAGUUGGCAGGAAGGAACGUUUGGGACAGGGAGAGUCGCCAUCCGGACAAAUUGGGUCCAUUCUCUAGACGUGGUUUGGACAAAUUGAACCACGUGAAGGAUAUGAGCAGCAGGAAUGGGUUCCUCUUCUCUUUUCUGGACCCUAGUGCACCUUUUCUUUUGUGCUGUCACCUGGCUCCACGCCUCCCGCAGUGGUGGCCCUGUCUUUCCCUGCCCCCGGGGCCUCUUCUGGUUCUGCCCAUCUAUACAAGUCCAGGCUUUCCUUGAACCACUCUCUGGACUGGCAAUGCCAAUGGAAAUCCCUAGGUGAGGUUCGUUUUGGCUCGAAUCCGUGCUGGUUUGACCGUCCCUCCUGCCUCUGUCUGUGCAUGACUGUUUAUCUCCAAGACCAGCUCCCCAGCUCCCCAGCAGAAAAUCACAUAUUUUAUAUCUAGCAAUAACCGCCUUCUUCAGCAUCCCGAGCCGGGCACUCAUCAUGAGAUCUUCGAAAUAGUUGCUGCUCGUGGGAUUAAGAAAAAGGUGGAAGAGCAAUAGAGGUUUUUUUUCCCUCCAUUUCUACCCUGUUUCCUUCCAUCUUAUCCACGUGUACUGUAUAUUUAUUCAGUUUUCACUUCGUGACUGUCUCCCUUCCCGUAAAGGUUGGGAAACACAUCUGCCUUAUGGACCAGGGUGUGCCUGAUGCUGGCCAGAGGAAACAAGCCCAGUGAAUCUCCACGGAGGAAAAGGAGCUUAUUCAGGGUGGAUUUCCACUCACCCUAAAGGAGCGAAAUGGAGUCAAACUUUGGUGGGUUUUGUUUCCUGUGAGCCAAUUCGUAUGCACUGAGAAAUUCAAUUAACUGUAUUCAUCAAUUUUUGUCUCUAGGUUUAGAGUCGUGAGGCUAAGGCCCAGAAUUUCCGGUCCCACCCCUUUGGUGGCAUGAAAAAC
rnacentral:lncRNA from 1 species